rnacentral:rRNA from 1 species
GAGAUGGAUUGGUGCCUUCGGGAACUGUGAGACAGGUGCUGCAUGGCUGUCGUCAGCUCGUGUUGUGAAAUGUUGGGUUAAGUCCCGCAACGAGCGCAACCCUUAUCCUUUGUUGCCAGCGGUCCGGCCGGGAACUCAAAGGAGACUGCCAGUGAUAAACUGGAGGAAGGUGGGGAUGACGUCAAGUCAUCAUGGCCCUUACGACCAGGGCUACACACGUGCUACAAUGGCGCAUACAAAGAGAAGCGACCUCGCGAGAGCAAGCGGACCUCAUAAAGUGCGUCGUAGUCCGGAUUGGAGUCUGCAACUCGACUCCAUGAAGUCGGAAUCGCUAGUAAUCGUGGAUCAGAAUGCCACGGUGAAUACGUUCCCGGGCCUUGUACACACCGCCCGUCACACCAUGGGAGUGGGUUGCAAAAGAAGUAGGUAGCUUAACCUUCGGGAGGGCGCUUACCACUUUGUGAUUCAUGACUGGGGUGAAGUCGUAACAAGGUAACCGUAGGGGAACCUGCGGUUGGAUCACCUCCUU